rnacentral:rRNA from 1 species
UACGUAGGGUGCAAGCGUUGUCCGGAAUUAUUGGGCGUAAGAGCUCGUAGGUGGCCUGUCGCGUCGGCUGUGAAAACUCGGGGCUCAACCCCCAGCCUGCAGUGGGUACGGGCAGACUAGAGUGCGGUAGGGGAGAUUGGAAUUCCUGGUGUAGCGGUGGAAUGCGCAGAUAUCAGGAGGAACACCGAUGGCGAAGGCAGAUCUCUGGGCCGUAACUGACGCUGAGGAGCGAAAGCAUGGGGAGCGAACAGG